CCUACGGGCGGCUGCAGUGGGGAAUAUUGCACAAUGGGCGCAAGCCUGAUGCAGCCAUGCCGCGUGUGUGAAGAAGGCCUUCGGGUUGUAAAGCACUUUCAGCGGGGAGGAAGGCGGUGAGGUUAAUAACCUCAUCGAUUGACGUUACCCGCAGAAGAAGCACCGGCUAACUCCGUGCCAGCAGCCGCGGUAAUACGGAGGGUGCAAGCGUUAAUCGGAAUUACUGGGCGUAAAGCGCACGCAGGCGGUCUGUCAAGUCGGAUGUGAAAUCCCCGGGCUCAACCUGGGAACUGCAUUCGAAACUGGCAGGCUAGAGUCUUGUAGAGGGGGGUAGAAUUCCAGGUGUAGCGGUGAAAUGCGUAGAGAUCUGGAGGAAUACCGGUGGCGAAGGCGGCCCCCUAGACAAAGACUGACGCUCAGGUGCGAAAGCGUGGGGAGCAAACAGGAUUAGAUACCCUUGUAGUC
rnacentral:rRNA from 1 species